AUUGAACGCUAGCGGCAGGCCUAACACAUGCAAGUCGAACGAGUGGCGGACGGGUGAGUAAUGUAUGGGAAAGUGCCUGAUGGAGGGGGAUAACUACUGGAAAGGGUAGCUAAUACCGCAUACCAUCGGAUGUGCCGAGAUGGGAUUAGCUAGUAGGUGGGGUAACGGCUCACCAAGGCAACGAUCCCUAGCUGGUCUGAGAGGAUGACCAGCCACACUGGAACUGAGACACGGUCCAGACUCCUACGGGAGGCAGCAGUGGGGAAUAUUGCACAAUGGGCGCAAGCCUGAUGCAGCCAUGCCGCGUGUAUGAAGAAGGCCUUCGGGUUGUAAAGUACUUUCAGCGGGGAAGCGUUACCCGCAGAAGAAGCACCGGCUAACUACGUGCCAGCAGCCGCGGUAAUUC
rnacentral:rRNA from 1 species